rnacentral:rRNA from 1 species
GACGAACCGUGCGAACGUUAUUCGGAAUCACUGGGCUUAAAGCGCGUGUAGGCGGAUGGGGACGUCGGUCGCUGAAAUCCCCCGGCUCAACCGGGGAACGGGCGCCGAAACGCCCCGUCUGGAGGGACGUAGGGGGACCUGGAACUUCCGGUGGAGCGGUGAAAUGCGUUGAGAUCGGAAGGAACGCCCGUGGCGAAAGCGGCUCACUGGACCACAACUGACGCUGAGGCGCGAAAGCUAGGGGAGCAAACAGG